UUGGAGGGAAAAAAACCACAAGAUCGGAGAAGAAAAUGCAACUUUCGCGUUCAAGGUCAAUUGCGGCGUCCUUUCGUCGAUAGCAUAGCUACACGGACGUGAUAAAUAUCGAGAUAAAAAUGUAGCAGGCCAUGGAUGUACCUACAUUAAUAGUGCCAGCGAACGAAUGUUUAAUGCAUACAUAACUAAAAUUCCGAAAAGGAACAUAAACGUCGGCAAGUGAAGAAUGAAGCGAGUUAAUUUUGACCUUGUUGGAAGGAGGCACCGCACCAGAAGGUUAAAUAUGGGAAUAAUCCUUCUAGGACAAUCUUGUUGUUUGCUUGCAGAUAUAUAAUUACGAACAUUACAAAACAACAAUGACCCGGACAAGAUUAUGAAAAAAUACUCUGCCUUGUUAAAUUACUAGUGCUCUGAAGAUGAACCCAGAGACUCAAGCUGCGGCUGGUGAGACGUUUGUCAGUUGGGAACAAGGCUAGGUAUUGAAAUGAAACAAAAUAAAGUUUCCUGUGACCUGUUCUCUCACUGUGAUGAUUUAGCACUCAAUAAAUUGUCUGCUGUAACCAGCUAUGAAAAGUUUCAGUAGUGUCCUUGCCUGGUUACCCCGGUGUUAUCCGGGAAGUUCCAUCACUGAAGGAGCGGAAAAGAGAAGGAGAAAGGAGGAACUUUCGAUUGGUGCGGCCAACAGCAUGGUGGGGUGGAGUCUCUUAUGCCCAACACCGUCAAGCAGUAUCGUAAACACUUGAAACAUUGGUGUAUGUUUUGUGGAAAUAAUUACAUUAAUUAUCUUAUCGCAUCUUUUCUAGCAAUGUUUGCCAUUCUGAAAGCAUUAUGUGAUGAGGGAUCUAGGUAUGGAAGUGUCCAUUUUUCUAAAUCUGCUCAUGUGCUUAUAUUGGGAUAUAGACGACUCCUCAAAUGAUAGAGUGAAACGCUUUAUGAAGAACGUAUUGUUUCGAUUACACCCACCUCAACCUUAAAGUGUGACCUGGGACCCUUAAUCAGUCUCAAAUUAUUUAUCAACAAUGCCACCAAUGAAAAUUUUUCAUUACAGAAUUAAGAGAAAGUUAUGAAAUUGCUUAGGUACUUGCCUUAUUUGCUAUUGUUACUGCACGCAGCGUGCAAACCCUGUCCUUGAUAAAAUAUGUAAUUUUUACUAUUAUUCUGAUUUUCUGACCAAGUCCUUACAAAAAUUUCAGCUACCUUUGCUAUCCGUAGCAUUUUUCAAGGAAAAACUAAUUUGAAAUGGAAUGAGGCUUGCUCAGGGCGAAUAUAUUUUAGCUACUUAUAUAUAAAAAUAACGAAUGGUAUUCAUUCAGUUGUUAGUAAUUAUUUAUUGCCCUCAAAAACCUCAUAUGACCAUCACUUCCCAAACGAUUUGUUCUUGAUUAAGUCAACUUUUAAAGAUAGUGGUAUUGAUAUUUUUGUUUUCACCACCCAUUCAACCUAUUAUGCGUUGGUUUCAGGAUCCAAACCAAAAUCAUUUAGGAGUAAUAUUGAUGGAAAGAAAAA